AUUGAACGCUGGCGGCAGGCCUAACACAUGCAAGUCGAGCGGAUGAGGGGAGCUUGCUCCUGGAUUCAGCGGCGGACGGGUGAGUAAUGCCUAGGAAUCUGCCUGGUAGUGGGGGAUAACGUCCGGAAACGGGCGCUAAUACCGCAUACGUCCUGAGGGAGAAAGUGGGGGAUCUUCGGACCUCACGCUAUCAGAUGAGCCUAGGUCGGAUUAGCUAGUUGGUGGGGUAAAGGCCUACCAAGGCGACGAUCCGUAACUGGUCUGAGAGGAUGAUCAGUCACACUGGAACUGAGACACGGUCCAGACUCCUACGGGAGGCAGCAGUGGGGAAUAUUGGACAAUGGGCGAAAGCCUGAUCCAGCCAUGCCGCGUGUGUGAAGAAGGUCUUCGGACUGUAAAGCACUUUAAGUUGGGAGGAAGGGCAGUAAGUUAAUACCUUGCUGUUUUGACGUUACCAACAGAAUAAGCACCGGCUAACUUCGUG
rnacentral:rRNA from 1 species